GUGGCACGAUAGGAAGACUGGAUACAGAUCGCUGAAUCCAGCGAUUGCAGCCGAACAAGCAGCGAACCCCCGAACCCUCUCCCUACGCGCGGCCCUAGCGGUCAUGCCGGCGCCGGCGCAGUUACCUCCGAUCCAAUCUAUUGCUAAUCGUCUUGCUGUGUGAAGACGCAACACUGUGGUCUGUGGAUCCGUUCGUUGUUUCAAUCAGGAUUGAGGAACAUAUCCAGACCAAACUACGGACUGCGUUCUAAUCUCCAAAAGCAAGCGGACAGCCAAGGCCGAGCAGACGGUGGCCAAGCAAGGCGGCGGCGCUGGCGGAGCGGAGUGGCCGCGACGGCGGGCUAGGGGGCAUUACCGUGGACGGUGUGAGUCUGUGGGAAAUCUCCUUGAGUUGCCGCCGUCAGAAGAUCCGGAUCAGACUGGUAUAGCCGCCACGGCGGGCGAACUUCGACAUGGAGGAGCACAUGUUGGCUGACGGCGUGCAGCGCUCGCUCGGCGAGUACGUGUGUGCAUGGCGCCGGCGUGCUCUCGUGGCCAUGAGCUCGCCCAAUCUGAUAUCCGUGUGCACCCACUCGUUUGUAAAUCAAGAAGUGAAUGAAUUCGUUUUCCCGAUUCAGAAAAAGAGCAGCAUUUCACACGGACGAACCAGCACCUUUCAUAAUAGUUCGAUUUUCUAGCUUUGUGGUUGUAGCAAUUUUCUUGCCAAUGGGCAUUGCAAUUGUAAUACCCUAUAUCCCUGGAGCAUGACUGUCUAAUAGUUUAAUGAGUAUAAUAUUCAGAUUU